CAGGACACUAUUUUUCAGGCAGCAAACUUACUCUCUCUUUCUAACACAGGAGAGCUUAGGGACUCAAGGGCUGUACUUAAUCUUCGGGCUAACAUAACAGUUGCUGAUAUCAAUGUAUGUAAUGCAAGGCAUACAAAAGACAAGGUAUUACAACAAAAUUAUAUUGCUCACACCAAAUUUUAAGAGAUUUUCCGUUUUCCAUUCAGAUGAAAUAAUGUAGGGGG